GACGAACGCUGGCGGCGUGCUUAACACAUGCAAGUCGAACGGAAAGGCCCUGCUUUUGUGGGGUGCUCGAGUGGCGAACGGGGGAGUAACACGUGAGUAACCUGCCCUUGACUUUGGGAUAACUUCAGGAAACUGGGGCUAAUACCGGAUAGGAGCUCCUGCUGCAUGGUGGGGGUUGGAAAGUUUCGGCGGUUGGGGAUGGACUCGCGGCUUAUCAGCUUGUUGGUGGGGUAGUGGCUUACCAAGGCUUUGACGGGUAGCCGGCCUGGGAGGGUGACCGGCCACAUUGGGACUGAGAUACGGCCCAGAGUCCUACGGGAGGCAGCAGUGGGGAAUAUUGCACAAUGGGCGGAAGCCUGAUGAAGCAACGCCGCGUGCGGGAUGACGGCCUUCGGGUUGUAAACCGCUUUCGCCUGUGACGAAGCGUGAGUGACGGUAAUGGGUAAAGAAGCACCGGCUAACUACGUG
rnacentral:rRNA from 1 species